rnacentral:rRNA from 1 species
AUUGAACGCUGGCGGCAGGCCUAACACAUGCAAGUCGAGCGGAUCGGCGGUCGGGUGAGUGAUGCCUAGGCAUCUGCCUGGUAGUGGUGGAUAACGACCGGUAACGGACGCUAAUACCGCUUCCUAUCGGAUGAGCCUAGGCCGGAUUAGAUAGUUGGUGGGGUAAAGGCCUACCAAGGCGACGAUCCGGAACUGGUCUGAGAGGAUGAUCAGUCACACUGGAACUGAGACACGGUCCAGACUCCUACGGGAGGCAGCAGUGGGGAAUAUUGGACAAUGGGCGAAAGCCUGAUCCAGCCAUGCCGCGUGUGUGAAGAAGGUCUUCGGAUUGUAAAGCACUUUAAGUUGGGAGGCGUUACCAACAGAAUAAGCACCGGCUAACUUCGUGCCAGCCGCCGCGGUAAUUC